CCUACGGGAGGCAGCAGUGGGGAAUAUUGCACAAUGGGGGGAACCCUGAUGCAGCCAUGCCGCGUGAAUGAAGAAGGCCUUCGGGUUGUAAAGUUCUUUCGGUGACGAGGAAGGUUGAUAGGUUAAUAGCGUAUCAAAUUGACGUUAAUCACAGAAGAAGCACCGGCUAACUCCGUGCCAGCAGCCGCGGUAAUACGGGGGGUGCGAGCGUUAAUCGGAAUAACUGGGCGUAAAGGGCACGCAGGCGGUGACUUAAGUGAGAUGUGAAAGCCCCGGGCUUAACCUGGGAAUUGCAUUUCAUACUGGGUCGCUAGAGUACUUUAGGGAGGGGUAGAAUUCCACGUGUAGCGGUGAAAUGCGUAGAGAUGUGGAGGAAUACCGAAGGCGAAGGCAGCCCCUUGGGAAUGUACUGACGCUCAUGUGCGAAAGCGUGGGGAGCAAACAGGAUUAGAUACCCGAGUAGUC
rnacentral:rRNA from 1 species